AUUGAACGCUGGCGGCAGGCCUAACACAUGCAAGUCGAGCGGGGUUUUCGGACCUAGCGGCGGACGGGUGAGUAAUGCGUAGGAAGCUACCCGAUAGAGGGGGAUACCAGUUGGAAACGACUGUUAAUACCGCAUAAUGUCUACGGACCAAAGUGUGGGACCUUCGGGCCACAUGCUAUCGGAUGCGCCUACGUGGGAUUAGCUAGUUGGUGAGGUAAUGGCUCACCAAGGCGACGAUCCCUAGCUGGUUUGAGAGGAUGAUCAGCCACACUGGAACUGAGACACGGUCCAGACUCCUACGGGAGGCAGCAGUGGCGAAUAUUGGACAAUGGGCGCAAGCCUGAUCCAGCCAUGCCGCGUGUGUGAAGAAGGCCUUCGGGUUGUAAAGCACUUUCAGCGAGGAGGAAGCCACUCGGGUGAAUAGCCCAGAGGGUGACGGUACCUGCAGAAGAAGCCCCGGCUAACUACGUGCCAGCCGCCGCGGUAAUAC
rnacentral:rRNA from 1 species